rnacentral:rRNA from 1 species
ACGAUCGCAAGAUUAAAACUCAAAGGAAUUGACGGGGCCCCGCACAAGCAGCGGAGCAUGCGGCUUAAUUCGACGCAACGCGAAGAACCUUACCAAGGCUUGACAUAUACAGGAAUAUGGCAGAGAUGUCAUAGCGGUAAAACGUCUGUAUACAGGUGGUGCAUGGUUGUCGUCAGCUCGUGUCGUGAGAUGUUGGGUUAAGUCCCGCAACGAGCGCAACCCUCGUUCUGUGUUGCCAGCAUUCAGUUGGGGACUCACAGGAGACUGCCGGGGUUAACUCGGAGGAAGGUGGGGAUGACGUCAAAUCAUCAUGCCCCUUAUGUCUUGGGCUGCACGCAUGCUACAAUGGCUGGUACAAAGGGCUGCAAUACUGCAAAGUGGAGCGAAUCCCAAAAAGCCAGUCUCAGUUCGGAUUGGGGUCUGCAACUCGACCCCAUGAAGUCGGAGUUGCUAGUAAUCGUAGAUCAGCAACGCUACGGUGAAUACGUUCCCGGGGCUUGUACACACCGCCCGUCACAUCACGAAAGUCGGUAACACCCAAAGUCAGUGGCCCAACCGCAAGGAGGGAGCUGCCAAAGGUGGGAUCGGUGAUUGGGAUG